rnacentral:rRNA from 1 species
GAUGAACGCUGGCGGCGUGCCUAAUACAUGCAAGUCGAGCGAACAGAUGAGAAGCUUGCUUCUCUGGUGUUAGCGGCGGACGGGUGAGUAACACGUGGGUAACCUACCUAUAAGACUGGGAUAACUCCGGGAAACCGGGGCUAAUACCGGAUAAUAUUUUGAACCGCAUGGUUCAAUAGUGAAAGACGGUUUCGGCUGUCACUUAUAGAUGGACCCGCGCCGUAUUAGCUAGUUGGUAAGGUAACUGCUUACCAAGGCGACGAUACGUAGCCGACCUGAGAGGGUGAUCGGCCACACUGGAACUGAGACACGGUCCAGACUCCUACGGGAGGCAGCAGUAGGGUAUCUUCCGCAAUGGGCGACAGCCUGACGGAGCAACGCGGCGUGUGUGAUGAAGGUCUUCGGAUCGUAAAACUCUGUUGUUAGGGAAGAACAAAUUUGUUAGUAACUGAACAAGUCUUGACGGUACCUAACCAGAAAGCCACGGCUAACUACGUGCCAGCCGCCGCAGUAA